AUAUCCCUGCGGUGUUCGUCGGCGAUUGAUGAUUAUUGAACCAACACCAAUCCUAAGGGAGCCCAUCUUCAGGCGAGCCUUUUGGGCCGCUGAGAGGGCACCCACGUGUCUGAACGGGUUCAGACCACCUAGCUGACGGCAGUUGCGGGGAUUUU
rnacentral:other from 3 species